rnacentral:rRNA from 1 species
CACGUAGGGCGCAAGCGUUGUCCGGAAUUAUUGGGCGUAAAGAGCUCGUAGGCGGUCUGUUGCGUCCGCUGUGAAAACCCGGGGCUUAACCCUGGGCUGGCAGUGGAUACGGACAGACUAGAGGUAGGUAGGGGAGAAUGGAAUUCCCGGUGUAGCGGUGAAAUGCGCAGAUAUCAGGAGGAACACCGGUGGCGAAGGCGGGUCUCUGGGCCGAUACUGACGCUGAGGAGCGAAAGCGUGGGGAGCGAACAGG